GGAGUUAGCCGGUGCUUCUUCUGUGAGUGAUGUCCUUCCUGCCGGCUAUUAACCCGCAGGCCUUCUUCCUCACUGAAAGUGCUUUACAACCCGAAGGCCUUCUUCACACACGCGGCAUGGCUGGAUCAGGGUUGCCCCCAUUGUCCAAUAUUCCCCACUGCUGCCUCCCGUAGGAGUCUGGGCCGUGUCUCAGUCCCAGUGUGGCUGAUCAUCCUCUCAGACCAGCUACGGAUCGUCGCCUUGGUGAGCCGUUACCUCACCAACCAGCUAAUCCGACAUAGGCUCAUCCGAUAGCGCGAGGCCCGAAGGUCCCCCGCUUUCCCCCGUAGGGCGUAUGCGGUAUUAGCCUGGGUUUCCCCAGGUUAUCCCCCACUACCGGGGCAGAUUCCUAUGCAUUACUCACCCGUCCGCCGCUCGCCACCAGGGAGCAAGCUCCCCGUGCUGCCGCUCGACUUGCAUGUGUUAGGCCUGCCGCCAGCGUUCAAUCUGAGCCAGAAUCGAACCCUGA
rnacentral:rRNA from 1 species